rnacentral:rRNA from 1 species
CACGUAGGGUGCGAGCGUUGUCCGGAAUUAUUGGGCGUAAAGAGCUCGUAGGCGGUGUGUCGCGUCGGCCGUGAAAACCUGCAGCUUAACUGUGGGCUUGCGGUCGAUACGGGCAUCACUGGAGUUCGGCAGGGGAGACUGGAAUUCCUGGUGUAGCGGUGAAAUGCGCAGAUAUCAGGAGGAACACCGGUGGCGAAGGCGGGGUCUCUGGGCCGAUACUGACGCUGGAGGCGCGGAAAAGCGUGGGGAGCAAACAGG